rnacentral:rRNA from 1 species
AGAGUUUGAUCCUGGCUCAGAUUGAACGCUGGCGGCAUGCUUUACACAUGCAAGUCGAGCGGCAGCGCGGGGGCAACCCUGGCGGCGAGCGGCGAACGGGUGAGUAAUGCAUCGGAACGUAUCCUCUUGUGGGGGAUAACCCACCGAAAGGUGGGCUAAUACCGCAUAAGCUCUGAGGAGGAAAGCGGGGGACCGAAAGGCCUCGCGCAGGAGGAGCGGCCGAUGUCCGAUUAGCUAGUUGGUGAGGUAAAGGCUCACCAAGGCGACGAUCGGUAGCUGGUCUGAGAGGAUGAUCAGCCACACUGGGACUGAGACACGGCCCAGACUCCUACGGGAGGCAGCAGUGGGGAAUUUUGGACAAUGGGGGCAACCCUGAUCCAGCCAUGCCGCGUGAGUGAAGAAGGCCUUCGGGUUGUAAAGCUCUUUCGGACGGAACGAAAUUGCCUGGACCAAUACUCUGGGUAGAUGACGGUACCGUAAGAAGAAGCACCGGCUAACUACGUGCCAGCAGCCGCGGUAAUACGUAGGGUGCAAGCGUUAAUCGGAAUUACUGGGCGUAAAGCGUGCGCAGGCGGUUGCCUAAGCCAGGCGUGAAAU